AUUGAACGCUGGCGGCAGGCUUAACACAUGCAAGUCGAGCGGAGAGAGGUAGCUUGCUACUGAUCUUAGCGGCGGACGGGUGAGUAAUGCUUAGGAAUCUGCCUAUAAGUGGGGGACAACAUUUCGAAAGGAAUGCUAAUACCGCAUACGUCCUACGGGAGACAGCAGGGGAUCUUCGGACCUUGCGCUAAUAGAUGAGCCUAAGUCGGAUUAGCUAGUUGGUGGGGUAAAGGCCUACCAAGGCGACGAGCUGUAGCGGGUCUGAGAGGAUGAUCCGCCACACUGGGACUGAGACACGGCCCAGACUCCUACGGGAGGCAGCAGUGGGGAAUAUUGGACAAUGGGCGCAAGCCCGAUCCAGCCAUGCCGCGUGUGGGAAGAAGGCCUUAUGGUUGUAAAGCACUUUAAGCGAGGAGGAGGCUACUUUAGUUAAUACCUAGAGAUAGUGGACGUUACUCGCAGAAUAAGCACCGGCUAACUCUGUGCCAGCAGCCGCAGUAA
rnacentral:rRNA from 1 species